AGUGAACGCUGGCGGUAGGCCUAACACAUGCAAGUCGAACGGCAGCACAGUAAGAGCUUGCUCUUACGGGUGGCGAGUGGCGGACGGGUGAGGAAUACAUCGGAAUCUACUUUUUCGUGGGGGAUAACGUAGGGAAACUUACGCUAAUACCGCAUACGACCUACGGGUGAAAGCAGGGGAUCUUCGGACCUUGCGCGAUUGAAUGAGCCGAUGUCGGAUUAGCUAGUUGGCGGGGUAAAGGCCCACCAAGGCGACGAUCCGUAGCUGGUCUGAGAGGAUGAUCAGCCCCACUGGAACUGAGACACCGUCCAGACUCCUACGGGAGGCAGCAGUGGGGAAUAUUGGACAAUGGACGCAAGCCUGAUCCAGCCAUACCGCGUGGGUGAAGAAGGCCUUCGGGUUUUAAAGCCCUUUUGUUGGGAAAGAAAAGCAGCAGGUUAAUACCCCGCUGUUCUGACGGUACCCAAAGAAUAAGCACCGGCUAACUUCGUG
rnacentral:rRNA from 1 species